GCAAGAACCAUAAAAAUGAAUUUAAGAAAAUCAAUGUUGCUUUGUUAUUUGCUAUUCUUUACCAAAUUCCAGCCUAUAAUUAGCCAACAUAGGUGUGGGCUAAAUUAACACAAAAAUUUACUAGAAUAUUGGAUCAUAUCCAACGAAAAGAAAAUAUUAUUCUCAAUAAUAAAAUAGGAAUUCAUAAUUUCAAUAUNNNNN
rnacentral:lncRNA from 1 species